CCUACACCCAGGGUUGGGUGUUUGGGAAGCUUGGCUCCCUCCAAGGCAUGGGUGAGUUCUUCCCUCCGUAUGUGGAGUCCAGAACUCGCUGCUGAGGAUGGCCCUGUAUGAUCCUACGGACAUACGGUCUCAAUUUCACAACGUAUCUGUGCCUCUCCAUGGCCCUCCUUGCUCGCAGUCAGUGCUUAUCGACCUUCUGCACGGCUGUCCCGGAGGCCAACCCGGACCUGGUCAGGGGCCUCUCCCGUUCUCGCAGUGGGGCUCCGCGCGCUCGCUAGCGUUCCUUAGGAGCCAAACACUUUGUAGAUCCCGUCAUAGUGGAAACACCUGCUUGCAUUUGUGCAUACAGCAUGCACUCAGCCUGUCCUGUGGGCCGUCAAAACAAAGCCUGUGCCUGCCUUUCUAAUCAGGAUCUCUGCCCCUGAGGACCACUGGCUCUUUAACGGACUGUAGUUUCUUAAA